rnacentral:rRNA from 1 species
AGGACGAACGCUGGCGGCGUGCUUAACGCAUGCAAAUCGAGCGGAAAGGCCCUUCGGGGUACUCGAGCGGCGAACGGGUGAGUAACACGUGAGCAACCUGCCCCUGGCUCUGGGAUAGCCUCCGGAAACGGGGAUUAAUACCGGAUAUUCACUGUCUCCUGCAUGGGGGGUGGUGGAAAGUUUUUCGGCUAGGGUGGGCUCGCGGCCUAUCAGCUUGUUGGGGGGUGACGGCCCACCAAGGCGACGACGGGUAG